rnacentral:rRNA from 1 species
AGCGAACGCUGGCGGCAGGCCUAACACAUGCAAGUCGAACGAACUCUUCGGAGUUAGUGGCGGACGGGUGAGUAACACGUGGGAACGUGCCUUUUGGUUCGGAAUAACUCAGGGAAACUUGUGCUAAUACCGAAUGUGCCCUUCGGGGGAAAGAUUUAUCGCCAUUAGAGCGGCCCGCGUCUGAUUAGCUAGUUGGUGAGGUAACGGCUCACCAAGGCGACGAUCAGUAGCUGGUCUGAGAGGAUGACCAGCCACACUGGGACUGAGACACGGCCCAGACUCCUACGGGAGGCAGCAGUGGGGAAUCUUGCACAAUGGGCGAAAGCCUGACGCAGCCAUGCCGCGUGAAUGAUGAAGGUCUUAGGAUUGUAAAAUUCUUUCACCGGGGACGAUAAUGACGGUACCCGGAGAAGAAGCCCCGGCUAACUUCGUG